rnacentral:pre_miRNA from 1 species
UUAAAUCUUUGUCUUAUUCAAAAAAAUUUUGCAAUUGAUAUUUUUGUUUUUAUUAGAUGAUAAAUCAUGAAUAGUACUUUACGUGUGACUAAUUUUUUCCUAAUUUUCUGAAAAUAUUUUAAAUAAGACGGAUGAUCAAACAUUGGACACGGAAACC